UACAGAGGGUGCGAGCGUUAAUCGGAAUCAUUGGGCGUAAAGGGCGCGUAGACGGUGAUAUAAGCGGACGUUGAAAGGCAAGGGCUUAACCUUUGCAAGGCGUUUGAACUGUAUGACUAGGGUCUGUCAGAGGUGGGAGGAAUUCUCGAAGUAGCGGUGGAAUGCGUAGAUAUCGGGAGGAACACCGGAGGCGAAGGCGUCCCACUGGGAUAAGACCGACGUUGAGGCGCGAAAGCGUGGGUAGCGAACAGG
rnacentral:misc_RNA from 1 species